rnacentral:rRNA from 1 species
CGGGUGAGUAACUACUGUGAGCUAUCUGCCCUGACUCUGGGAUAAGCGCUGGAAACGGCGUCUAAUACUGGAUACGAGCUGCGAAGGCAUCUUCAGCAGCUGGAAAGAACUUCGGUCAGGGAUGAGCUCGCGGCUAUCAGCUUGUUGGUGAGGUAACGGUCACCAAGGCGUCGACGGGUAGCCGGCCUGAGAGGGUGACCGGCAACUGGGACUGAGACACGGCCAGACUCCUACGGGAGGCACACGGGGAAUAUUGCCCAAUGGGCGAAAGCCUCGAUGCAGCAACGCCGCGUGAGGGACGACGGCCUCCGGGUAGUAAACCUCUUUACCCACGGGCAGAACCGCAAAGUCGACGGAACCUCGCAAAAACAGCGCCGGGCUAAACAUACCGNUGACAAGCACCAGGCACNGGCGGGUGAAAUAAACGUCAGGGGCAGCCAACAGACGUCGACAUCCCGGGGAAAUCUCAUACGGGGCCUCAAAACGAANGCCUCCGUAAGUCGCCGGCAAACGGAUCNCAGCACGGUCCAGCNAGNUGGACANCAAACCCCCGAGAGAGGCGCGUCCCCAACCCCCCCNGAGCGCCCCUGCACCGUACGG